rnacentral:rRNA from 1 species
AACGAACGCUGGCGGCAUGCCUAACACAUGCAAGUCGAACGAGACCUUCGGGUCUAGUGGCGCACGGGUGCGUAACGCGUGGGAACCUGCCCUUAGGUUCGGAAUAACUCCCCGAAAGGGGUGCUAAUACCGGAUAAUGUCUUCGGACCAAAGAUUUAUCGCCUUUGGAUGGGCCCGCAGUGGAUUAGCUAGUUGGUAGGGUAAAAGCCUACCAAGGCGACGAUCGAUAGCUGGUCUGAGAGGGUGAUCAGCCACACUGGGACUGAGACACGGCCCAGACUCCUCGGGGAGGCAGGAGUGGGGAAUAUUGCACAAGGGGCGGAAGCCUGAGGAAGCAACGCCGCGUGCGGGAUGACGGGCUUCGGGUUGUAAACCGCUUUCGCCUGUGACGAAGCGUGAGUGACGGUAAUGGGUAAAGAAGCACCGGCUAACUACGUG